CCGCUAUUCUGCAGUGAUUUUCUUCCAAUCCAGUAUCAUUUGUACGUUGCAGCAUCAUCGAACACCAUGACCCAUGAAUCAGAAGAUAACGUAGAUGCUACGAGAGAGCUCAUUUCACAAUGGACAACAGAAGUGUUACGUGACUUUCUACAAGGAGGGGACUCAAGCUUGGAAAUCGAGUACCGGUAGUCAUUAUUUUAUGGGUGUUCUCUGCCUUGACUCUGGGGGUACUGUUCAGCCAUCCGAGGUAGAGAUAAACUGGACGAUGGAUGGAGAGGGGGCGGGGGGGGGGGGGGGGGGGGGGGGAGAAAGGCAUGCAGACUGCAGAGCUGAUCGUCUACUAUGUAUAGAGACAUUUGUGUGUACCUAGUAGAUAAGGACCCUCCAUCACUAGAGGGAAGAAUGAGAGACUACAAAGAGGGAAAGGCAUUUAGUUAUUUUGCCAGUUUCUGGUUAGGGAGAUAUUUUUUUCAUCUCGUGGGAGAAAGCUGUCUGUAAUUCAAAAUCAUUUGAUACUUGAAUAAAUUUAGUUCAUUUUCUAGACUGUUUCAUGUCAAA
rnacentral:lncRNA from 1 species